UUUUUUAUUAUUUAAAAAGUAUUAAUGCAAUUGUGACAGGUAGGUUAUAAUUAUGAUAGACAAAGGGCAAGGAGAUGAAUUUAUGAAGCAGUAUAUGGAUACUUGCAAAGAGCAAAUAGAAAAAUUAGCCAAGGAUCCUGAAUUGCUUAAUCAGGCUUUAAAACCAUUUAUGCAAAUGUCUCAGCAGCUUAUGGCUGGCGGUAUGUUAGAAGGGGCUAUGCCUGGCAUGAUACCUGAUUUGGGCAGUAUGGAUGUUAACAAGAUGAUUGCUCAGAUGAAGGAAAUGAUUGACUACAUAAGAGGUAACUAUAAGGAACUAAUGAAAGAGCGCAGCUCGCAGAUUCAAGAGCUUAAUGAAUCCAGUAAAAAGCUAAGAGGCUUAGUUAAAAAAUUGAUAGAAAAGAUCGAAAGUAAAUAAAUAACAUCUGGAUUUCUGUCAUUCUAUAUACAACUUUCUAGUUGGACGGUAAGUCGAGGUCAAUUAUUGAUGUCAUGAAAGUAGCUGACACUGGUUCCUUUAUGACGGCA